rnacentral:rRNA from 1 species
GACGAACGCUGGCGGCGUGCCUAAUACAUGCAAGUAGAACGCACAGUUUAUACCGUAGCUUGCUACACCAUAGACUGUGAGUUGCGAACGGGUGAGUAACGCGUAGGUAACCUGCCUGGUAGCGGGGGAUAACUAUUGGAAACGAUAGCUAAUACCGCAUAAUAUUAAUUAUUGCAUGAUAAUUAAUUGAAAGGUGCAAUUGCACCACUACCAGAUGGACCUGCGUUGUAUUAGCUAGUAGGUGAGGUAACGGCUCACCUAGGCGACGAUACAUAGCCGACCUGAGAGGGUGAUCGGCCACACUGGGACUGAGACACGGCCCAGACUCCUACGGGAGGCAGCAGUAGGGAAUCUUCGGCAAUGGACGAAAGUCUGACCGAGCAACGCCGCGUGAGUGAAGAAGGUUUUCGGAUCGUAAAGCUCUGUUGUAAGAGAAGAACGGGUGUGAGAGUGGAAAGUUCACACUGUGGCGGUAUCUUACCAGAAAGGGACGGCUAACUACGUG